rnacentral:lncRNA from 13 species
GGCUUUCUUAUGGCAGAGGAAAAAGCACAAUGGCAGAAACCACAGGAUAAUUGUUAAUGGACACAGGAUGAUCAUACUUGCGAACAGUGGGAAGGUCAUCUCUUUUCUCAUGAAUGAAACUUUAAAAUUGCUAAAUAUGGAGAGAACCAAGCAGUGA